rnacentral:sRNA from 1 species
CUACACCCUCACAGUUUGCUCUGCUCUUCCAACACCAGUGGAAGAUGAUCACAUCCCAGGGAUCAGUGUCGUUUAGGGAUGUGACUGUGGGCUUCACUCAAGAGGAGUGGCAGCAUCUGGACCCUGCUCAGAGGACCCUGUACAGGGAUGUGAUGCUGGAGAACUACAGCCACCUUGUCUCAGUAGGGUAUUGCAUUCCUAAACCAGAAGUGAUUCUCAAGUUGGAGAAAGGCGAGGAGCCAUGGAUAUUAGAGGAAAAAUUUCCAAGCCAGAGUCAUCUGGGUGAGUUAGUAUGUGCCAGAUGGAAUUUAAAGGAAGGUAGAUCACAAAGGGUAAGUUUGGAUAAUAAGACCAUUGAAAUGUUCUUUAGGAAUCAUGUUUUAGAGGCUCCAGACCUUUGGAAGUAACAUGUUGACGUGACCCAAAUAUGCAGUGACUCUGAAUCACCCAGCAUCUCCCAGUAUCACUUUCAUACACACAUCUUGUUUUUUUUUUUUUAAAUUGUGAUAUAAACUAUAUAGUUUAGCCAGAGAUUAAUAAAAUUUUAUAUAUAUAUGUAACACUCAUGUACCCAUCAUUGAGAUGAAUAUAUAAAGUGAUUUUUCAACACCCCCAGAAAGCUCCCUGUUGUACUCUUCCCAGUAAAGAGCAUCCCUCCUUUUGUAAAAUUAAAUAUAUUUUUCUAUA